rnacentral:lncRNA from 1 species
CAUUUGCAUACUCAACGUAAUGUAUAUAUGUCGCCGAUAUCAAUUAAUUGUCACAGGUGUAUGCAUAAAACUCACACUUAAAAGUCAUCUUAUAAUUAGUUUAUGCCAGCCUUAAAAUUAGUUCUUAUAUACAUUUGAAAAUUUUAUGUGUAUUUAUUUUUUCAUGAUUAGCCAAAAUGUGCAUGAAUCAAUAACCUACCGCAAUAGAUGCAGCCCAAGAGUACUCAAGAUUUUUAAAAGAUUAAUAUAUAUAUUGUAUUUGGUUUAUAAAUGAUCUCUCAAUUUAUUUUGUAAAUAUGACAGUCCUUUAUAGUUCAUCCACAAGACCGUAAGUUUCAAAUAUUGAGGGCUGUUUAAGUAGGCGAUGUCACUCUCUCUGAAGAGAGCUAUGGGAGGACAAAAUUAUAAGUUUCAAAUACUGAGGGCUGUUCUAGUGCGUAACAUCGCUCUCCUUAAUCCUUAUCAUGAGACUGCACAGCUCUCUUCAUGAGAGCUGGCCAUGUGUGAUGUUGCUCUCCUCUUGCUUAUUGAACACAAUUCUUCAAAUAUUAUAGAGCACGCAUGUAGAAUUACUUACAGUAAUUUCCUUUAAAGCUCAGCUAAAUCAAAGAUAUCCUUAACACCCAUCAAGAAACUUCAAGUUAAAAGCCAAAAGAAAACAAAAAUUUAAAGGGUUAAAUUAUCAUACAAUUCACAUUAAAGAAAAUGAUAGCACCUCCAUUAGAGAACGAAUAUAUAUAUAUAUUCCCUACCUUGAAAUUUUAAAGUGUGAGAAAGUUUGAGAAAAUUUUAAAACCGCAUGAUUUUAAAGCAUUAUAAAAUUAACACUUUAAAAUCCUACGGUUUUAAAGUUUUUCUGUAUUUUCUUAUACUUUAGGGGAAACCUUAGGUGCAAUUAUGGUACCAUGCCACAGUUACAUCCAGUCGUUGGAUGCCAGUGGAUCCCACCAAUUUAAGUGUAUCCAACGGCUGGAUACAACUGUGGUACGGUACCACAGUUGCACCAUAGCCUGAUCCUAUACUUUAAAAUCUUAUAUUGGAAAAUUUAUAUAUAUACACACACAUGUGUAUAUAUAUAUAUAUAUAUUUUUUUUCCAAUUAAGAAUUUUCAAGUGCAGAAAAGUUCGAGAAUGUUAGGAAAUUGAGCUUCCUCCCAAGAUCACUCCAAGCAAUUUAUCAAGCAACAAAUUAAUAGAAAAAUUAAAUGGAGAAUACACCAAUCACACAACACAAGAUUUACGUGGAAAACUCCAAAUCCGGAGAAAACCCACGGCCGUUGUCGAGAGACAACCAGAGAAAAAUAAUCACUAUGUGGAAAAUUAUUACAACCACUCUCAGAAAUAAUUUUCUCUCACCCAAGCCUCAAAUACAUAAUCCUGAGAAAUAUCCCUUAACGAAGUAAACCCGUAAUACCCAUAUUGAGGAGUCAAAUGCUCCUUCAAUAUAACUACAUGCUUAAGAAUAUUUCUCUCUCUUAAUUUCUCACCAAAACUUGGAUUCUUUCUCUGGGAUUUAGGAUACCAAGCUCUUAAAUGAGAGCUUCCUUUUAUAGGCAAGAUUUUGCCUAAAAUCAAGCCAAUUUUUCAACAUUUAAUAACCACCAUUUCAAUAGUUUUGACCACUUCCAAUUGCUUAUCAAACUUCUCGACUAUCUCCAAAUUGAAUUCAAAUGAUAUCUUCGAAAUUGACUUUUCAACUCUUUUUUUUUUUAAUCAAUUUUCAACAGAGAAAGUAUUAAUUUCAUAAUACUUUAAAAUUGUAAGCCAAGGUUUUAAAGUUUUUCUAAACUUUCUCGUAUUUUAAAAUACAGGAUUGAAAAUUUUAUAUAUAUAUAUAGUGAGAGAGAGAGAGAGAGUGUGGGAGGUUAUUAUCGUUUCACCAAGACUACGUCAUUUUCCUUUGAUGUUUACGGACAAACAGAAAAUAAUAAAAAUAAUAAAAGAAUCCAACAACUUCACUUUAACCUUCAAUCUCUUUUGCCUUCCCUCUUGCGUACGCCUUUCCCCAUUUUCUCCUAUUUAUAAAUAAACACAAAUUACACAGACUCCUCAUCUUCACCCCUCAUCAUAUGUCUCUCUUAUCUUUUAACACAACCAACAAGAAGUCAAACAAACAAAUUUCAAUUUCUUUAAAUAAUUAGCAGCUAGAGCUAGCUAGCCAUGUCCAGUGAUAUUGAUCAUCAGCCGCAACCACUGAUCAUCAUCAGCAAUGAUUCACCAAAGAUCAAGCCGUCAGUAGUUAACAUUGAAGAAAAAGAAGAAGAAGCACAAGAAGAGAUCACCAUGAAGGUUAGUAAUAAUAAUACUGCCGCCACCGCGGCCAUAAUCUUACUGAGUAAUAUUAACGAUGAACUGGAUCUUCACACUCCAACGGAAGACGAGAACAAGAUUCCCAUAACCUUAACCCCACCACCGGCGCCGCGGAAGCCGGUGAUUAAGAGGAAGGGAAUUGCAUGCAAGAGAAAGUUGUUUGGCGAGAUUAAUCAUCAGGUCUCUCAUCAUCAGAUCGUUAACAAAGAGGAGGUUGAUGCGUUCUUUAAAUCCAGUUUCGAGUCACUUGCUGGAAAAUCCGCCAUGAUCGUGAAGAGAUGCAAGUGUACAUGAAGAACACUCUAAUACAAGCUCAUAGCUACAACUUUCCCUUGUUUUUUUUUUCUUUUCCUCUUUAUUGUUCUUUCUUUUGAAUGAUCUCUAUUUGUAAGGUUUAUAAUUCAUGACUCAUGAAUAAUCUUUGUAUGUAAAUCAGAAGUGUUAUUACACGUUCAUAUGUAUAUUUAAUUACUACUACGGCUGAGCUAGCUAUAGCUAGCUAGGUUUCUUUCAAUUGUCUGCUUGUUGGAUCUGAUGAAACUUUUAAUGAUCAGUAAUUUAGUAUGCUGAAUUUUGUUUGAUCAAUGGUUUUUAGUUAUAUUUUUCAUUUAUGAAUGAACUUGAUGUUAGAGAGAUACUUAAUGGCUUACAUCCCAUCAAAGGAAUCAUAACGAGCCUUAGCCGGUAAAUUAAGGGGGAAAAAAAAGAAAAGUUAUGGAAAGCUAUCAUUAAUUUCCUCAAGCAAACUGAUAACAAGAGAGUCCAAUAGCAUCCUUAGAAAGAAGACCUAGAGUGGAAUCAGGACCUUAGCCUUAUGAUCUGCAAGAACAGUACAUUCCCUGUGCAAGAAAUGCAUAGACAUGCAUGAUAGCAUCCAGACAAUUAAACCAUGUGUUGGGAAGAUUCCAUGGAGGCUGUAAAAGAGAAUUAAAAAACAAAAGACCAACAUAGAAUUCUCUCAAGCCACAAGACAAAUGAUACCAGCCACGCUGCCCAGCUACUUAGCUCUACAGUUGUUGUGACACCCUUUGUUAGAUGAAUGGUGAUAUUAUUCAUUCUUUCUAUAUUAAUUAUUCAUUUUCAAUUUGUUUUUUUCUAUAAUAAUACAUAUAUACAUCUUUUUUUUGUUCUGAUCCAUAAAUUCUUUGAUCGUUUAUUCAUAUAUAGACAAAAAAUAAACAGUUGGUGUUCGAGGAAGAAUGUGGUUUAUAAAUAUAAUACUGGGUUAUCUUUUUACGCUUGAAAACCUAGAACAUAUAUAAUAAAGUUUUAGUAUCAGCUGUCAAAAUUUACAAUAUUUUACUGGUUACAUUCCCACGGCCGUUGUCGAGAGACAACCAGAGAAAAAUAAUCACUAUGUGGAAAAUUAUUACAACCACUCUCAGAAAUAAUUUUCUCUCAGUGCAGAAAAGUUCGAGAAUGUUAGGAAAUUGAGCUUCCUCCCAAGAUCACUCCAAGCAAUUUAUCAAGCAACAAAUUAAUAGAAAAAUUAAAUGGAGAAUACACCAAUCACACAACACAAGAUUUACGUGGAAAACUCCAAAUCCGGAGAAAACCCACGGCCGUUGUCGAGAGACAACCAGAGAAAAAUAAUCACUAUGUGGAAAAUUAUUACAACCACUCUCAGAAAUAAUUUUCUCUCACCCAAGCCUCAAAUACAUAAUCCUGAGAAAUAUCCCUUAACGAAGUAAACCCGUAAUACCCAUAUUGAGGAGUCAAAUGCUCCUUCAAUAUAACUACAUGCUUAAGAAUAUUUCUCUCUCUUAAUUUCUCACCAAAACUUGGAUUCUUUCUCUGGGAUUUAGGAUACCAAGCUCUUAAAUGAGAGCUUCCUUUUAUAGGCAAGAUUUUGCCUAAAAUCAAGCCAAUUUUUCAACAUUUAAUAACCACCAUUUCAAUAGUUUUGACCACUUCCAAUUGCUUAUCAAACUUCUCGACUAUCUCCAAAUUGAAUUCAAAUGAUAUCUUCGAAAUUGACUUUUCAACUCUUUUUUUUUUUAAUCAAUUUUCAACAGAGAAAGUAUUAAUUUCAUAAUACUUUAAAAUUGUAAGCCAAGGUUUUAAAGUUUUUCUAAACUUUCUCGUAUUUUAAAAUACAGGAUUGAAAAUUUUAUAUAUAUAUAUAGUGAGAGAGAGAGAGAGAGUGUGGGAGGUUAUUAUCGUUUCACCAAGACUACGUCAUUUUCCUUUGAUGUUUACGGACAAACAGAAAAUAAUAAAAAUAAUAAAAGAAUCCAACAACUUCACUUUAACCUUCAAUCUCUUUUGCCUUCCCUCUUGCGUACGCCUUUCCCCAUUUUCUCCUAUUUAUAAAUAAACACAAAUUACACAGACUCCUCAUCUUCACCCCUCAUCAUAUGUCUCUCUUAUCUUUUAACACAACCAACAAGAAGUCAAACAAACAAAUUUCAAUUUCUUUAAAUAAUUAGCAGCUAGAGCUAGCUAGCCAUGUCCAGUGAUAUUGAUCAUCAGCCGCAACCACUGAUCAUCAUCAGCAAUGAUUCACCAAAGAUCAAGCCGUCAGUAGUUAACAUUGAAGAAAAAGAAGAAGAAGCACAAGAAGAGAUCACCAUGAAGGUUAGUAAUAAUAAUACUGCCGCCACCGCGGCCAUAAUCUUACUGAGUAAUAUUAACGAUGAACUGGAUCUUCACACUCCAACGGAAGACGAGAACAAGAUUCCCAUAACCUUAACCCCACCACCGGCGCCGCGGAAGCCGGUGAUUAAGAGGAAGGGAAUUGCAUGCAAGAGAAAGUUGUUUGGCGAGAUUAAUCAUCAGGUCUCUCAUCAUCAGAUCGUUAACAAAGAGGAGGUUGAUGCGUUCUUUAAAUCCAGUUUCGAGUCACUUGCUGGAAAAUCCGCCAUGAUCGUGAAGAGAUGCAAGUGUACAUGAAGAACACUCUAAUACAAGCUCAUAGCUACAACUUUCCCUUGUUUUUUUUUUCUUUUCCUCUUUAUUGUUCUUUCUUUUGAAUGAUCUCUAUUUGUAAGGUUUAUAAUUCAUGACUCAUGAAUAAUCUUUGUAUGUAAAUCAGAAGUGUUAUUACACGUUCAUAUGUAUAUUUAAUUACUACUACGGCUGAGCUAGCUAUAGCUAGCUAGGUUUCUUUCAAUUGUCUGCUUGUUGGAUCUGAUGAAACUUUUAAUGAUCAGUAAUUUAGUAUGCUGAAUUUUGUUUGAUCAAUGGUUUUUAGUUAUAUUUUUCAUUUAUGAAUGAACUUGAUGUUAGAGAGAUACUUAAUGGCUUACAUCCCAUCAAAGGAAUCAUAACGAGCCUUAGCCGGUAAAUUAAGGGGGAAAAAAAAGAAAAGUUAUGGAAAGCUAUCAUUAAUUUCCUCAAGCAAACUGAUAACAAGAGAGUCCAAUAGCAUCCUUAGAAAGAAGACCUAGAGUGGAAUCAGGACCUUAGCCUUAUGAUCUGCAAGAACAGUACAUUCCCUGUGCAAGAAAUGCAUAGACAUGCAUGAUAGCAUCCAGACAAUUAAACCAUGUGUUGGGAAGAUUCCAUGGAGGCUGUAAAAGAGAAUUAAAAAACAAAAGACCAACAUAGAAUUCUCUCAAGCCACAAGACAAAUGAUACCAGCCACGCUGCCCAGCUACUUAGCUCUACAGUUGUUGUGACACCCUUUGUUAGAUGAAUGGUGAUAUUAUUCAUUCUUUCUAUAUUAAUUAUUCAUUUUCAAUUUGUUUUUUUCUAUAAUAAUACAUAUAUACAUCUUUUUUUUGUUCUGAUCCAUAAAUUCUUUGAUCGUUUAUUCAUAUAUAGACAAAAAAUAAACAGUUGGUGUUCGAGGAAGAAUGUGGUUUAUAAAUAUAAUACUGGGUUAUCUUUUUACGCUUGAAAACCUAGAACAUAUAUAAUAAAGUUUUAGUAUCAGCUGUCAAAAUUUACAAUAUUUUACUGGUUACAUUUAGGUUCAAUUAUGAUCUGAUCUUUAUACUGAUCUUUUCUGAAAGUUGUGUCAUUGGAUAUAAUAAUAAAAUUUAAAUUAAUUUUACAUUGUUUUAAUGUACAGUGAUGACAGAAAUCUUUUAGAAGAAGAUAAUGGUGAUAGGACAACUCAAAUCAAUACUGAAUCCUAACAUUAAUCUAGAGAGGUUAUAAAAAAAAAUCUCAAAAUUACUAAAGGCAUUAUGUAAUUUGUACAAUUACAUAAAAGCAUUUGGUAAAGCAAUUAUUUUAAUUAAUUUACAAGAAGAAAAUCUUUCCAGCUAUCAGAAUUAAUCUUUACCCCAGGUAAUUAUGAAUAUUUGUCCUUUUCCAGGUUAACUAACUUUAGAAAAAUCUUGGGAUAUUUGAAGAAUAUUGCUCGUUUAUCAGUUACUCAUUGUCACAUUAAUACUUUAGAUAAUUCUAAUACUAUUCAUAUACCGAUAUACAUGUGGUAAAGAGUAAAUGGUAUAGCUUCUAUUUAUCAAAUUUUAUGAGCUAAUUAUCAAAAGUCUUUACUCUAUACCAACUCAGCAAGUGCUUAAAUGGAAAAGUUGCUACCACAAAAAGCUAUCUGAUAUUAUUCCCACUUUCCACAUAACUCAAUUUUAACCUUUUUGAAUAACUUCCCAAAACUCCCAACUCAUUUUCCCAAAGCUGAUAGCAUAGUAAUGGUAAUAGACUUGUGCAAGAAUAAAAGAAUCCAACGCCCCCCUUUCAAUCUCAAUUCUCACCCCCUUUCUCUCACCUUCUUUCACACGCCAGCUUCCCUUUUUCCAAUAUAAAUACUGAUGGCUAAGCUAGCUUCUUCUUAUAAUAUAUUCUUAUAUCUCUGGCUCUCAGCAACAAUUUGUUUUUUCUUUUUCUCUUUUAUUGUUUUUUUUUAAAUUUACCAUGUCCACAGAUCUACAACUCUGCCAAGAUUUACCAAAAAUGUUCAAAUCAUCCCCACUCAAGAUCCUGACACAACAACAACAAGAAGAAGAAGCUGCUGGUGUCAUAAUUCAAAAAGAGGGUACUGAAACUGAAUUAUGCAAGACACCAACAUCAGAGGAACACAAGAUUCCUGAGAUUUUGUGCUGUCCUAAAGCGCCAAAGAAACCUAAGACACGAAGCAGUACUGUUUCAUGCAAAAGAAAGCGGCAGCUGCUGGCUGUUGAUGACUUUCAGUUCUUUGAGAUCCUGCACCGGGAUGAAGUUGAAGAAUUUUUCCAAUCCAAUUUCAAGAGAAGCUGCACUGCUCAUUCAUCAUAUAUGUAAAUGAAAAAGCAUAUAUUUGUAUACACAAUUUCAUGUGAUCUGGUUUGUUAUUAUGAUGAUCAAAAAGGGUCUUGAUGAAUUUGAUGAUUUGUGUAUCUAGCUGUUCGUAAUAUUAUUACACGUACAAAUUAGUUAAAAGAUGCAAUGUAAUUCAGACAACAAAUGGAUCUGAAAUUUGUACCAAUUUUUAUGAUUUUUUUGAGUUUUAAUUGUUAUUAUCUCGUCUGGGUCAGUGAGAUUUGAAAGAUUAAUAAUCUGGUUAUGUGUGAAAAUCGUGUUUGGUAUGAAGAAGAUUGUGAUCUUCAUUUUCUUUAUUGUUUAAUUAGUUGUUUGUUAGAUCAGUUGUUCAAUAUUACCCAUUGACAUGUUUAGUUUGAGUGAUUGACACGGCUUUAAAAUUGGGAUUGAUAAAGUUGAUUUUUCCUUUUCUUAAUUUAUUUCUUCACGCGGAAAAUGACAGAUAGAGUUGUGUGCAUCUACUACGUGCGUACCAUUAAUUAAUAAUGGGUACAAAAUGAGGCAAUGUGCGAUGUCAUAGGCUUUAAUAUUCAAUGGGGGGGAUGAUUUGUCUCUUUCGAUAAGUCUAUCUACUAGAACAUGAAAGAAGAAAACCAAUAUGUUAUUCAUUUACUAUUGGUUUACUGUAUUAUUUGCACCAAAACUUUACUAGUUAGUUGCCCUCUGAGAGCUUACUGACAACAAGAUUGCUUGGAAAAUUUUGUCAGCCUCUGACCUGUCCUCCGCGAAGAAGUCAAUUUGGUUUCGAGACAAAAGACAUUUACAUAGACUGCAUAGGAUCCCAAGAUCCUUUUUCUAGAAUUCGAAAUUUAAGUGUAUUAAUUACAUUGAAUGAGCAAUUAAUAUUGUGUUAUACAUUUUGAGAAAUUAAAUAAUGCACUUAUGAAGUAAUUCACAAUUCACUGCCAACGUGAAUUUGACUAUAUACCUUAAUUUCCACCCACUUGAGAACCACCCACUAGCAACUCUUUUUCUUUAUUCAGAUUAUCAGAUAUGUGAGAAUGGGUUCGAGUUUCAGUGUAAAAUUUAAAAAUAAUAUGUAAUCUGCUUUGAGCUGCAACAAAACAAAACUUAUAUCUAUUGGUGAUCCCAUUAUUUAUUAUUUUUUCAUAGAGCCUAUUCUUGGCUUUGAAAGAAAGAAAGAGAUGGGUAGUUAAAAAUCAAUGGUUGGGAAUUAAAAGCCAACAUUAGUUGUAUGUACGUAUUGAUCAACAAAAUCAUAGUUUGUGUAUAUUUGUAUACAAAGCAUGUGGAUAUAGAAAUGGGGCAAGUUUGAGGCGGAGCCCCAAUUUUAUAUUUAGAUCCAGACCCAUGAUAAAAAAUCAAUAAUAGAGAUUCAUAUCUAUCAUGGAUUUAUUAUGGGUCUAUGUUUUUUAUCCUAUGUCCAGAUUCAUAAAACAAACGAGAUUGAGACUCAUAAUAAGUUAAUUAUUUUUAUAUUCUAAUUAGUAUAUUUAUUUUAUUAUUAUACUGAGAAAAUAAAAAAAAUUAAGAUUACAAGACAAAAAAAUGAUCAUAUCUAUUAAAUUCUAAAUUUCAUUAAAAAAGAAGAGAAAAAUUUUCACGAAAAAGUACAUCAAAACAUAUUUAAUACUUACAAAUUACGAGAUGUUGAAUACUAUAUAGAAAUAAGAGGUAGAAUAUAUGAAAUAGAGACUACGUAGAAUAAAAUAGUGGUGUCUUAAAAAAAUGUAACUAAAAAAUAAAAAUUGAUAAUGUAUAGUAAAUAUAGUCUUUAAAUAAUAAUUUUUACAAAAAUAAUAAAUAUAUUAUAGAUUUUUUAUCAUAUAAGUGUUAAAUAAAAUUAACUCACCUUCUAAACUAUACCAGUUAGUAUUUACUAAAAUCUUUACUGAUAUAUCUUUUAAGUUACAAUUGCCCGUCAACAAUACCAAACAAGGCUUGAAUUGUCUUGAGUGAGAUCUAGAUUUUUCUCAAUCUUAUCUUUUAUUCACAUAUAUAUUUAUUCUAAAUCCAUUUAGAUCGACCUAUUAGGAUCAAAAUUUUAUUGAUUUUGGUCAAGCCUACCCUAUUACUAUCCUUAACUUUAUAUAGAUAUACACCUCAUAUAUGGGCGUAUAGAACGCUCUCUCAUCGAGUAUAUAUAUGAUCACAAAUGCAUGAAAUAAAUCGAUCUAACGUCUAAUCCAAGCAUACAAGAUCCAAAAAUAUUAUGAUGUAUAUUAUACACACACACACACACAUACAUUAAAAUCUUUCUGAAAAAUAUGUUCCAUAUAUGAAAAAUAUGUUUCAUUUAGUCAUAUAAAAGUCUGAUCCUAAUUUGGACCAAUUAUAAAUAAGAAUAAAAUAUAUAUUGUCAUAAGUUAUAAUCUUUCUAAAUCUUGUCUUAAGGAACUUGUCUUCGCAUAGUAAUAAUUAUAUCUAUGUUUCAGAAAAUAUUUCCAAUUUUACAUUAAAGUUUAAGACGGAGCAAAAUAUUUUUUUAAAGUUGUUUGGGACAAUAAUUUAUACAAUGUAUAUUAUUUAUGGAAUUUAAAUUGAGAGAAAAACAAUUAAAGAGAAUGCAAAUAAAUAAAUAAAGAGAAUGCAGACAUUUAGAUUUUUCAAAUGACUUUGUAUUUUUUUCAAUACUACAUAAAUAAAUGUACUAGUUUUUUGAAACUGUCUAUCUCUUUAUCAAAUUUUAUAUAUUAAUUUAACAUAAUCUUUUAAAUAAUUAUUAAUUUAGUCCAUACUUUACCUCCAUAUCACUCUGUUUUUUUUUUUUUUUCUUCAAUUAUGUAGGCUAACGGCACGCGAAUUUCCUCCCCACAAGACAAGCUUUGUAGAAUUAAUUCUUUAUUAACUUGUAUAACUUAACUCAUCAUCACAAAUCUCAGUCAUGUUGUGUGUUGAAUCAUAUCUUUUGGUGGACAUGUAUACCAAUAAUUUUCUUAUUUUUUAAAUAAUUAAAUUAAAAUAGAACUUAAAUCUGAGUUAAAUAAUUGGGGAGAAUAUUUUCAACCCAAUUAAUUAAUAACCUAUUUGUAAUCCCAAGCCUUAUCUUAUCUUAAUAAGUGGAUAUGUGUACACACACACACACACUAUACUAUAUAAAGCAUUACGUUUGUGAUAGCUUCAAUGCUAAAUUCAUCUCAAAUGGGUGAUCCUCCAUAUAUAAGUGGAAGUGGGUCCUCGAUUACUGUUUUUAUUGCGUGGUCCUUGACAUCGGAAUUGUUUUAUUCACAAGCUUCCUUCUUGAAAUUUGUUUCAAUAUAAUGGGAGUAAAAUUCAUCCUCCCAAUUUAAUCUAUCAACUUGUUCACACUCUUUAAAAGCAAAAUAUGUAUAUAGCACAUUGUACGUGUACAUCAACAGGUCCCUUAGUGAAUUUUAAUAUUAAUUCUAAUAAGCCAAAAUGAGAAGGUGGUAAAUGUGGACUCUAGCGAGCUAGCUAGCUGGCUAUUGUAAGAGACAAGUUUGGAGAAAUUUCAUAUACAUAUAAACUUACAUGUAAUAAAUAAACUUCCCAUGUGUCAAUAAUAGUCAAGAAAACACUAUAUGCACGACAAAAACACAUAGUAAAUAUAAUAGAUGAUUCCUGUACGUUGAUUAACAUGUGUCUUCAUAAAAUAAAUUAUUCUAAUUAGUUAGGAAUCGAUCAACAGUAAUUUAAGUUUUUGUUUUUCAAGUCGUCAAAAACAAUCGGCUUCAUUUUAUAUUCUUUUAAAGUAUGUUUAAAAUUACUUCUUUUUUUUUUUUUUUUUCAUGAAACAUCAACACUCGCAACAACUAAAAUAUUUAAUAAUUAGCGACUUUUAUUUGACAAUUAUUCGUUAUGGUCACCCACUUAUUUAUGUUAAUAGGUUUAUGUGUGUCUCUGUAUUAAUAAUAUAAUAUACUUGAAAUUGAUUGAAUUAAUAGAUGCUGGGUGAGGUGUUAAAGACUGCAUUAACAUAGCGUUCUUAAACAUAUAUAAUUAAUAAUAGUCAUCUUUGGACCAACAAAGUGUUGGCUCCACUGGCAAUAGAGUCCCCUUAAGUGGCUUGACUGGGUUUGCUCCCCAGUUCGAGUCACAGGAAAGUCGCCUUUGUUGGGAGAACCUGUGCCUCUCGGUUCGAGUGGGGACUUCUAGUCUGGAUUGUAGUACGAGCUUAAAUGUGCCUCUCAUAGUUGGGGUCAUCCCCAGAAUAUCUCAUGAUCAAAAAAAAAAAUAAUAAUAAUAGUCAUCUUUGGGGAGGAGUCAAAAUAUUAAUUAUAAUAACACAACAGAGAGCUUAAAACAUAAGCUACACUUUGUAUGUUAAUCUCAAUUAGCUUUUGACUGAAUAAAGAGCAUAAAGCACUUUCUGAAUGAAUAUAUUAAGUGAAAGUGACGGAAGUGUAAAGAUGGUGAAGAUUAGAUUAAAGGAAGAUUUCAUACUUUUCACAUGCUAGUUGUAUGCCAAAAGUGCUACACAAAUAUGCCGUCCAAUCGAAACAACAAAACAAAAACAAAAACAAAAGUAGUCAGUGCACAUGUAUAUCUAGCUCAUUUUACUAAAUUCUUAACCUGGCACCAUAAGAUAGGUCAUACAAUUAAUAAAAUUUAACCAUCUGAUGGUGUAUAUACUUUAAAAUAUAUAGUUUACAGCUUACAAAUAUAUAAGAUUAGUAUUUAUUAAUUAGUAAAUUAUAUACUAUUUAGCUAAAUCAUGAACGCUUUAUUUAUUUAUUUAUUUUUUAGAUCGUGGGUUUGAGUCCUUUAAUAUGCAUUGCGACUUAAAAGUAAAUGCAGUAAAAGAAAAAUAUUAUACAGAAGUAGAAUCUCCAGUUCUAAAUUCUGACAAUUUUAUUUUUUUUGAGUUGGUUAAUAUUGUUAUGAUAUAUGUAUACAUUCCUUCCAUCUCAGGCUCUAAGAAAUAAUGAGGAAGAUGCAUUAUUAUUAUUAUUGGUCUGAAUCACGAGGUGGUCUUGAGUGGACCCCAACUGUGAAAGACACUUUUAAGCUCGUACCACAACUCAGACUAAUCCCCCGUUCACACCGAGUCAGCUCAUAAGAGAUAAAAUACUAGGUAAAGUGGUGACUUUAUACGAGAGCCGGACUUGAACAAAUGCAUUAUUUUUCUUUCAACACUACAUUAGAAAAUAUUAUAAUAUAAGUAGUAAUAAAUGCAGUCCAAUGAACCUAAUGUUUGUCGACACCACCUUAACAUAUCAAAAUCGAAGCCAGAAAAAAUCCGAAACUAAUUAAAGAAAAUAAACAAAGGCCUUACGAAGAAGGGCAGAUUGUUUACGAAGGGACCCACACAUUAAAUAUAUGUGUUAUUAUUGAUGAUUUAGCAUUUGGCUUUCAGACAAAAGAUAUGGCGAAAUGGCAAAUAGAAACAACUUUUGAUUAUGGAAUUUUAUUGCAAGAAACACGAAGGCAUCUUCCUUGUUUAAUUCCCAUGCACCGUCUACGUCCGCGUAAUGCAUUUAUGCUGCGUUUACUUUUUGGAUUGGAGUGAGAAUUUUGAAGAGUGAGAAUCUUUGGAUUAAGAGUGUGGAGUGAGAGUGAGAGUAGGAUGUUUACUUAGACUAAAUAAAAGUAUGGAUUGUCAAUCAGAAUCCUAAUUAUUUGUUUACUUUGUCUUAGAUUGGGAGUAAAUUAUUUUAAAUUAUAAUUUUAUCCUUAUGUACAGAAUUAUAAUUUGUAAUUAAAAAAUUAAUAAAAAAUAUAUUUAGAAAAUAAAAUAAAUAUUUUAUUAUAUUUAUAAAUUAAUAAUAAUUACUAAUAUUCUUAAUUAUGUAAAUCAUAAUAUAAUCAGCAGAAUUAGAAUUUUGAUUCGACGAGAGCCAUAAUGGGAAAAAAAAAACGUAAAUUAAAGUAGGCUUUAACAUUAUAUCAGUAUUCUUGUCGGCAUGCUGUAUUUUUAAAAUUUCAUAUGGUUCCAAGAUUGAAUAGAAAACAUAAAAUAUGUUAUGGGCUCAUCAUCCUCUUGAAUUGUAAAGCAAAAAAAGUUAACCAACCAAUCAUCAAUGUGAUUGAGGUAAAAUUUUGGGAUUAUAAUAUAAUAAUGGGGCGGAAUUAGGUACAAGCCUAGGCUGAAAAAUAAGCUAAAACAAAAUAAUGAGUCUGACUUGAAAUUUUACUUUGGUUCUUCUUCUUCUUCUUCUUAUUUUGGGAGCUAAUGUUCAUAUUUAUUUUACUGGGUUCGCCUAAGUUACAACGGUCACCAUGUAAAAUUUCAUUGAGCUCCCUAUACUCUAUGUUAUUUAUAAUUUAUUCGUAAGUAUUAUAAAAUUUUUUAAAUUAUAAAUUUCGUUUAAUUCCAUACACUCAAUUUUAUUUUAUUGAAACCCUAAAGUACGAAUUCGACCCCUAUAAUUUUAAAUUUCUAAAAUGACCUUCAUUUAAUUAAUAACUAUUAUUUUAUUAUAAUCAUAAAUAUAAUUAUAUUCUUUAAAUAGAUUAUUAUUUUUAUUAUUAAUAACAAUAAUAAAAAGCAUUAUAAUUAAUUAAUCUAUUAACAAUAAUUAAUAAUAAAUUUUUAUUAAAUUGUUAAUAAUAAUAAUUAAUGAUAAUUAUUAUUAUUAAUAAUGAAUUUUUAAAUAAUAAUCUGCUGUACGGCCAAGGCGGAUGUACGGUACAGCAGAAACUCAAAUGAAAUAAUAAAUAUAUAUAUUUCUAAUCUUAAAUGGGAAACCCCUGUUGAAACUGCGUAACAAACACUCAGGCGGACCCUUACUCAUUAUUUUAUUGCCGAAGGAAUAUUAAAAGGCAAAUCAUGCAAAAAGCAGAAAUAAAUUCCUUGAUUUUUGUACUUUAGAUGAAACCCCUUUUUUGGGAUUUGUCUUGUCUUACAAGACAUAUCUGACAUCAAUUAACGUGGGUUCUUAUCGUGGCUACUACCAUUACGAUCCAUUCAGGAUCUGAUUUUAUAGUUUGUAAAAUUAUUUAAUAAAUAUAUAUUAAUUAAAAUUUAAAUAGAGACUUAGAUAAUGAGAUGUUUAUGAUUACUCUUUAUUAGAUAUCAAUUAAAUAUUAAAUGAGAUAUGAAUAUUAAUUAAAUUGAGUGUGAUUCAGUUAGAUGUGAGCGUAUGCUAUCUCUUUUAUUAGUUGUUAUGUAGACUAUUUUUAUGGACACUUAUUUUAAUUAUAUAAAUAACCUUAUUCACUUUUCUUAAACAAACGUUCACUUUUCUUGAACAAACCUUUUUUAAAACUACAUUAAUAGAGCCACAACCUUUAUACAAAAUUAGUGAGACAUUGCUGCAUUGGUUAGAUAAAAAUAUUUCUAUGUCCGCAUAAUUUACUUUAACAAGUGUAGUUAUCUUAUAUCAAUUUGUACAAAAAUAAUUUAUCCAAAGUUUAUGAUUCAAUCGCUUCUUUUCAAAAAAAUACACAAGUUUUUCUUGAAUCAUUCCUUCGUUUCACAUAAUUUAUGCCAGAUCAAUUUCAUAUUAAUAGGCUUAUAUAUUAAGAGGCUCUCAUCAAAGAAUGAAACUCAAUUACAUGGCCAAAUUGGAGAGUGAUUAAAAAAUUUUCUUGCUGCAUGUAUAAUUCAAUUUGAGUUUAAUUGCCAGUUGCUCAACUUCUCAUAUGUCCAAGUAAGAGAAGUUUAAGGCCAUACAAUUGAUUAAGCAAUGAACUUCAUGGGAAUGUUUUUAGCUAGAAGUAAAACUGGAUUGAGCUAGGUAUUAGUAUUACUAGGCAAGGCUGAUCCAGUAUAUCUUAUCGGGACGAAUUGAAAUAGACAAAUUCAAGAACAGUGAAAAAAUACUUAUUUAUUUACCUACGUAAUAAAUAGAAGAGUAAAAAAAUAAAUUCUCUCUCUAAAGACUUUUUAAAAAAAAUUAAAAUUUUAUAUUAUUUCAAUCAAACUUUUUCCUCCAAAAUAAUAGCAAUUAUAAAAACUUCUAUCUAUUCAAGAAUAAUGAGACAUAAAUAAUUUAAUACUAAAUUAGAAGCUCCAAAAGACUCUAAAUAAGAUUUUUUAAAUGAGAUAAUAAUUCUCUUUAUUCAAUAUAUAGAGAGAAGGAUUUUUUAUUUGAAAAUUUUCAUUUGAGUAGCUUUUAAAAAAAUCUUUUUGUUGACGUGACUAUUCAUAUGAAAUGUAAAAUCUUAUUUGAAGAUCCUUUUAGUAAUACUUUAAGAAUAGAAAUGUAGAUGGAGUGGGUUUUAUUCACAAUAAAUUAUGAAUGGCUAAAUUGUAGAGUCAUAACUUAGAGUCUGUUUACUGUGGUUUAAAAGAUAUGAAUAAAUAUUCUCUUAUAAUCUAAAUAUCUAUUCAUAUUGAAGGAUCUUUUAACAGAUGUAUUUUCGAAAUUCAUACAACAGAAUUUCAAAGAUGUACAAUUAAGUGAAGAAUCAUUUUGUAAAGGCAUUUUUAAAAUGAUGCUUGAUAUUAUUUCAAAAUCUAGCCCGAGUUGAGCUCCAUAGCGCCCAUAAUAGACUAUUUGGCCCAAUUAUUAGAAUUUUAGGCCUAAGGUUCAUUUCUAGUCCUAAAAAAGGUAGGCCUUUUUACAGGCUUUAAAAUUCUUUAUAAAACUCAUUUUCAAUUGAAAUUAUUUAAAUAACCUAACAUAAUAGAAAUUCUAUUAAACACUUGAAUAAAUUAUUUUCUAACAAAAUUUUUACACCCACAUCCUGUCAUAAUUUAUAUUUAUGUUUACAUUUUAUAUUUUAUUUGAAAGAUAUUUUUUUGAGAAAUUAUAAAAUUUUGGAGUUGUGAAGAUAGAAAUUAUAUAGUAAGAAAAAAAUUUAAGAUAAAUUUAAUAUUUUAGGAUUUCUAUGCAAUUAAAAUAAUUUUUUUGGUUAAAAUUUUAUAAGAAGAUGGUUAAUUUUAAUAAAUGAAUUUAUAUUUUAUCAAUUAAUUUGAAGAUAUUUUAAGAUGUAACAUUUAAAGGGUGUUAUAAGUAUUUUAAAGGGUUUCAAAAGCGUUACUCUCCUUAAAAUUCUCACUGGUUUCAUUAGCGGGCCACAAAAGACCAUUUGAAUUUAUAUUUUAUCAAUUAAUUUGAAGAUAUUUUAAGAUGUAACAUUUAAAGGGUGUUAUAAGUAUUUUAAAGGGGUUUCAAAAGCGUUACUCUCCUUAAAAUUCUCACUGGUUUCAUUAGCGGGCCACAAAAGACCAUUUGUUUAAAAAAAUUCAAUAGCCCAUGACAGGCUUGAACCCUAGUUGGUCCUUAAAUGGAUCAAACCAUACUCUUGGAACUAAGGGUUCUCUUACUAUGCACCUGAUGUAUGCAUGGUUCAUUUUGACAUGACAUGCAGCGAAUUAAAAUGUCACAUAUGUGCAAUAAUGAUGACUAGGUAACCAGUUAUUUCGGUUGAAAUCACAAGAUAUCUUUUAUCCGCGUUAGUAUUCCGAGUUGGCUAAGGAUCAGGGUCAAGUCCUUAUUUAAUGGAGCACCACUAGGUACAAUCAUAAGCUAUGCAUUAUGUUAUCAGUUUUUGAGAGUAGUGUGUUUUGUUGUUGACUUUGCUGGAUUUAUUGGAUUUCAUUAAUGCAAUAAUGCCUUGAUUUAAGGUCUUCAUUUAAGAAGAAAUACUUUUUGAGUCUAAGAUGAUUUAUUUGAUGUAUUUUGAAAUUAUUGAAAAUGGAUUUCCCCCAUAUUUAUCUAUCUGUAUAAUUUUUUGGUUUUAACGUCAACAAGCUCUGAGCAGCAGAAGGUUUCCGGGCAUUAUUACUGUACCUCAUUCUACUAGUAUCAGUGAGUAAGAUUUCUUUGUUCUGAUUAUAUAACACUGGGUUGAAUGAACUGGAUUUUGUUAUCAGCAAUUUCAAUUUUCAACUAAAACUUUGUGUGGGUUUAUAUCAAUGUUUUCCCUUUUCGAAAUUGAGACGCAGGAGGAAAUGAAAGGUUGGUUUUCAUUUACUCUCUAAACUUGCAAUUCCACCUGUGGAUGUAGUAGUAAAACUUUAUUUUUGUAAUUGCUUUAUAUUUUUCUUUUAUAGAAUUAUGUUAUUAGGUUAUUAAAUCUUUUAGUACCUUUUUUUAAGGUAAUUUUCUUAUAAUUCCCUAAUUUUUGCUCAAACGAGAUGAUAAGUUUGAAGAAAUGAGAUAUUGGAUGGUAGAUAUAGAAAUAUACAUUCGUGAAUUGGCUUGUAUUUAAAACCUUUGUUUGUUUGCCAAAUAUUACGACCAUGUUUUUUAGUUUCUUCAGUUCUUAUUUUGGUUUUGACCCUAGUUAUGUAUGAUUUUUUUUGUAGAAUGAGAAAUGCUUUCAUGAAAGACUGGACAGUAGUUCUAGCUAGAGUCUUUAUUGAGUUCCAUACUAAGUAUAUCUAUAUGCUAUAUGUGUUAAAGCAAGCAUGCAUGUGCUCAUCAUCUCCAACAAAACAACUAGUGUAGGCUUCCAAUUUACCAAAGAAAUGUUCAUUCGCAACAUAAGGGAAUAAAAAAAAGUUUGUAAAUUUUUUUUCUUAUUGUUUAUGAAAUUGAAACAAGCCUAAAUCUAACUUGAAGUCUAGUGUCAUUCAUAAUUUGUGGGACUGGCUAAAUUUUCGAACCGAGUUAGGGUCCUGAAUUUUGAGUUGGUGUCUUGAUGACAAAACUUUUUGUAGCAGGUGGUAGUCCACUAAAGGUGAUAUUUAGGUCCUUUGAAUAUGUUAAGCUCUUUAUCUUUGUAUUUAGCUAAAAUUUGUUGGCAACAAUUAUUAGUUUAAUGCUUGAAGCUUGAUCUGUUUUAUUUUAUGUUCUCUCAAUUCAUUUCUGAAAGCAUUUUUUUGGUUUUGUGCAGUUGCAGUAUGGUUCUAUUUUUUUUUUUUGUUUUUUGUCCCCCUAGAAUGCAUGCUAGAGUUAUUUCUCAUGCAUUUACAUAUAUCUUGUAGUUGUAAUAGAACAUUCAGACUCAUUUUCAUGAAUAUCAGUCUCUUUAGGUCACCAGUUGAUGGUUUAAGAGCCAAAACUUCUUUGAUUCCACAAUCCAUAGAUAAUACAUAAAAAUAACAUAUAAGGUUUGGAUUAAGUGCAUACAUAAGCCAACAAACUUACAACUGAGAUACAAGUCAAAAUACAUAAGCAUGAUUGUAGAACACUGAUGAUUUUCCAAAUAAAUCAUGCAAUUUAUUUUGUUCAACCAAAUCCUUACCUUAUUGGUUGACGCGGAAACGAAUCGUCACAAAUCUGCAAGAGUAAAGAAUAAACUCCCUUCAAUCUCCAAGAGCGGAUUAUUUAGGAACUAGCACAAACAGAUCGCAACGAACAAGAAUUAAUUGCUAGGAACCUUCAUGAGCAAAUCUCCUUCACAAACGGAUCGUUACGAGUUUAUGUCACUGAUGAUCGAAGGAUAAUCAUGUGUUUGGAAAAUCCCCUCAAUUCACGAAGUAAGAACUCACUGCCUUUUCCCUUUUCUCUCACUCUCUUUUUGAUGUUACUCUGAUUCUUAUGAUUGUUAUUGUAUGUGCUAUCACUCACCCAUGUAAUGUUUAUAUAGUACAAUAAGUAUAGUUUAAUUCAAAUCAACUUCCUAGAGUUAUUUGAAUAAGCUACAUCUAUGUGAUUAGGAUUAAGAUAAAAUACUAAUUUAAUCUUAUAAGAAUCCUAGACAAACUCAUAGUUUAUCUUAUUACUUACGUUAGAUUAAUCCAGCCCAUCAUGGGCGUUAAAUUUAACAAAGACAAAAUCAAAAUUAUACCACAAUCUAACUACAGAGCCAUAAUUUUUUAUAAUUCUAUGGAGCAUGUGCCACCAUCUAGAUUUCUGCCCCAAUCUUCCUCCGUAUUGGGCCUGCAUGUUCAAAGCUGAAAUGGAAAUGUAUGUUAAAUAUUAAGUACUCAAUUAUUUUCAAAACAUAGGGUCCGCAAUCUCCAGACCCAAAAUGCUAUUGUGGUACACCAAAUGGAAUUUGCACCAAUCUGUAAGGAUUAAGGUUUAUAUUCAUAUCCCUCCUACUAACAGAGAAGCCAAGGCAGUGUAUUAAAAAUCACGACAUUAGCACACACAAUAGGUGAGCGGAAGCUAGAAUCUUAUCAUCAAUAAAUGACAUUAAGACUAGAUCAUAAAUAAUGAUAGUUCUAUCAACAACAUUUAUCCUCCCAACUACCCAAUGCACUCCAUGAAUUUUCAUUGGCAUACAUAUAUAAACUUAAAACACAUGUCUAGUUAUUUCUCAUGCAUUUACAUAUAUCUUGUAGUUGUAAUAGAACAUUCAGACUCAUUUUCAUGAAUAUCAGUCUCUUUAGGUCACCAGUUGAUGGUUUAAGAGCCAAAACUUCUUUGAUUCCACAAUCCAUAGAUAAUACAUAAAAAUAACAUAUAAGGUUUGGAUUAAGUGCAUACAUAAGCCAACAAACUUACAACUGAGAUACAAGUCAAAAUACAUAAGCAUGAUUGUAGAACACUGAUGAUUUUCCAAAUAAAUCAUGCAAUUUAUUUUGUUCAACCAAAUCCUUACCUUAUUGGUUGACGCGGAAACGAAUCGUCACAAAUCUGCAAGAGUAAAGAAUAAACUCCCUUCAAUCUCCAAGAGCGGAUUAUUUAGGAACUAGCACAAACAGAUCGCAACGAACAAGAAUUAAUUGCUAGGAACCUUCAUGAGCAAAUCUCCUUCACAAACGGAUCGUUACGAGUUUAUGUCACUGAUGAUCGAAGGAUAAUCAUGUGUUUGGAAAAUCCCCUCAAUUCACGAAGUAAGAACUCACUGCCUUUUCCCUUUUCUCUCACUCUCUUUUUGAUGUUACUCUGAUUCUUAUGAUUGUUAUUGUAUGUGCUAUCACUCACCCAUGUAAUGUUUAUAUAGUACAAUAAGUAUAGUUUAAUUCAAAUCAACUUCCUAGAGUUAUUUGAAUAAGCUACAUCUAUGUGAUUAGGAUUAAGAUAAAAUACUAAUUUAAUCUUAUAAGAAUCCUAGACAAACUCAUAGUUUAUCUUAUUACUUACGUUAGAUUAAUCCAGCCCAUCAUGGGCGUUAAAUUUAACAAAGACAAAAUCAAAAUUAUACCACAAUCUAACUACAGAGCCAUAAUUUUUUAUAAUUCUAUGGAGCAUGUGCCACCAUCUAGAUUUCUGCCCCAAUCUUCCUCCGUAUUGGGCCUGCAUGUUCAAAGCUGAAAUGGAAAUGUAUGUUAAAUAUUAAGUACUCAAUUAUUUUCAAAACAUAGGGUCCGCAAUCUCCAGACCCAAAAUGCUAUUGUGGUACACCAAAUGGAAUUUGCACCAAUCUGUAAGGAUUAAGGUUUAUAUUCAUAUCCCUCCUACUAACAGAGAAGCCAAGGCAGUGUAUUAAAAAUCACGACAUUAGCACACACAAUAGGUGAGCGGAAGCUAGAAUCUUAUCAUCAAUAAAUGACAUUAAGACUAGAUCAUAAAUAAUGAUAGUUCUAUCAACAACAUUUAUCCUCCCAACUACCCAAUGCACUCCAUGAAUUUUCAUUGGCAUACAUAUAUAAACUUAAAACACAUGUCUCAUCGAUAUUUGCCCAUUCUAUUUUGCCCUCUACAAAUCUUUUUAUGAUGGCCUCAUCAAAGCAACAUUCAUAUGACCUCAAUAUCAGUCUAUGAUUAUGUGCCUAAUUUUCUUCCAUCAAAGCCUAAAAAAAAAGAGUUAUUAUGCGAAUUAAUAUGCUAGUUUAUGCAAGUCCAUGCCACAUUAAACAAUUAUUUACUGGAUUGUUAUUGCCCAUACCCAAAACUCUUGGUCAAUUACACCGCAUCUAUUUCCAACAUUUUUAAGGUACCUCAUUAUUCAAAGGUGAAUGAUAUUGAUAUAUAUAGACAUAGGCUGCAUAUGAUAACAAUCCAAAAAUAUAGUUAGUUUCACAAAAUGAAUAUAAAAUUAUAAACCACGUUGUUAAAUUAUUUACGACAAUUAAGCAAAAAAUAAUUACAUCACCUUCAAUCCAUUCAUUACCCACCAUUAUCCUUAACCAGUCAGGAGACGUUCAUUUGUCUCAAUCAUCAUCUAAGUCCAUAUGGUUCAAUAAUGACUCAAUAUUCCAAAAAAUUUUUGAAUAAUGUUGGUAGGGGAACUUUCAAUCCACUUCCACAUUCCUUCUCUAAUCUUUGUAUUAAUUAAACUAUUUAUAUUAAUUUCAUCAUCUAAGUCCAUAUGGUUCAAUAAUGACUCAACUGGGACAAGUUCAUUUGUCUCAAUCAUUUUCUCCCCUGCAAUUUUCUCUCAUACUAACUCAAUAUUUGUAUUUGCACAAAGCAUCCAAACUUCUUUUAAUAUAACCCUUUUGAACCUUGUCAAAACAUGAAUAUUCCCACUAUUUGGGAAACUAUUUUGGGGCGUUUGGAAAACUUCUUCAUUAACAUCAACUUGGCAAUUAUCAACCUUAGAGUACCCAACAAUCUACACACAUGUAUUAGAACACUGCAUGAUAAAUGUAUAUGAAUUUUUCUGGAAAAAAUUAUAAAUUCCAUACUAUUUCAAAGAUGCUAUAAACUUUUUCACUGACCUCCAAUUAGUUUGGUCCAUCAUCAUCUCCUUUAAUAGAUUCUAACUUCACUUUCCUUGGCUUUUUUAUCUCAUCUAUAGCUAUCAUAUGGUGCAACUUCAUAUCUUCUCUCAUCUCAGCCUUGAUUUGAUUCUUAAAGUUUUCUAACUCAUUUCUUACACUUUUGACUAUCGUUUCGACAAUAUUAGUGUACAAGUUAUUAUCAAGGCCGACAUUUGGCAUGACGACAUUAUUUUUCUAUUAUAAAAAUAAUGCGUACAUUAUCAAAUCAUGUAUAACAACAUAAUUUAUUGACAGUCAAUACAAAAUUCUAAAACUUUGUGCAUAAUCAAUUAAUCAUUACUAUUACAAAGUACAUAAAGUCAGUAAGUAAAAUGUUGUACAUAAAAUAGUAUGAAUUUUCUCACAUUUUGGAAUGCGGUGGUUUUAUAUUUGAAGUCUAAGUUUGAAAUUCUUCUGCCUGACUUUAUGGGUGCAACCUCGACGAAUUGAUAGAAUUUUUUGUGGUAGUGAUAUUUCAACAUGCUUCACCAACGUGCAAUCUCAACAUCUCUGUCCUCAUGCAUUAACAACAUCAAAGACUUGUCAUUGAACAGCAGAGAUUGAAACAAAUCGUUCACUUGUCUAUCUGGAGGAGGCCCACAUGUUUUCCAUCUAAGUAUAUGUGGAGGAGGCCCACAUGUUCUCCCAGCCAAUGAGAUGCUCUCGAACAUCCAUGCUUACAAAAGUAACAUAUACAAUGAGUAUUUAACGAUUAAUGGUAUGCUAUGUAUUUUACAAAAUAUAGUUCUUUUUCAACCAAUAUCAGUACUUGUUCUUACCAUAAAACCAGCACUUGUUCUUACCAUAAGACUAAAUACAAAUUCUUUUGGACUGUACUUCUCUUCUGUAUAGACUCUAUUUGAAAUCUUUCUAUGGACCAAAUUUUAUGCCCUCAAAGACAUUGCCUUGAUAAUAGAGUUAUAAAUUUUAGUCCAUACAACAGACCCCUAAAGAUACUCAUCGAACUCAUCAAGAUUGUCCACAAGCUUCAGCAAGAUCUCGUCAAUUACACGUGAAUCUAACCUUCCAAAAAGGACUCUCUUCACGAGUAAUAUAAGUACAAAUCUUAAUGGUACCUCAACCUCAACUUUAGCGAAGUUGAUGGAGGUAAAACAUUCUUCAAGGUGCUUGGCAAGGUUUUUAAAAAUACAAAAUAGGUGCACGAAUUUUAUGCUGCAUGCGCUAGGAGUCCUAACUUUUCUAUUCGAAAAGAAAUUGUACAAAGAAAUAACAAGGGAGAUAUAAGGCAAAGAGUGUGUUUGUUCAAAAGAAAGAUUUCGUGCAAAGAAGCAUCUUGACAACCAAAAUAAAAAACGAAAACGAAAAUUGAGGUCCAUGACAAGGACAUAAUGCAAAGCACAUUUUUUUAUAAAUUUGGAACGUCAGAGUAACUGUUAAGUGUGUAUUGCUUUUAUUGAUACUCAUUAUCAUGACUUAGCAUUAGUGAAUCACACAAUGCUCUUGAGGUGGAGAAGAAAAGUUGAAAAUAUAGAGUUGGGUACAGCAAUUUCCUUGCAUUGGGUCAGUGUUCGUUCAUCGCAAAUCUAUGAUUAUCUGGUAAAUGUUUCGAGUGGACAUGACCAGGUUAGAUUCAUGCAAACAGACCUGCAUAAUCGAUUAGCUCGAAGUCGAACAUGUAGCUACUUCAAUUCAAAUGUCGAGACGUGUUCGUGUUAUCUUUAAGUAAAACUGGAAUUGGACCCAUGAUCAUUCUUUAAACACACUUUAGAUUCCCAUAACAGACUUACAGACUUGUAUUGGUGCGAUGGGGGUUCAAGGGCCGACUACCUUUGUUUUGAUGAUAUUAUUGCAUUUGAUUCUACGUAUAGAACAAAUGCAUACUAUAAGCCUCUCGUGCUUAUUAUAGGACUGAACCAUUAUCAGAAAAUGAAUGUGUACGGAUUUACACUUCUAUCUGAUGGAACUGAGUACCCUUACAUGGGGUUGCUAACGACUUUUUUGGAGGCCAUAGAUGGUAAAUGUCCACAAACACUAAUUACUUAUAGGGAUAUAGCAAUGAGAAAUGCGAUUCAAACUGUAUUCCUGCAUGCAACUCAUAGAUUGUGUUCAUGGUACCUUGCUAGAAAUGUACAAACAAAUGUAGGAAAUGAAAACUUCACCAGAGAAUUCAAUGAAUUCAUGUGCAGUCAUAUGCUAGAGCAAGACUUUGAAGUUCGAUGGAUUGAUUUAAUUAAUAGAUACAUCUUGCACAAUCAUGAUUGGGUUAAAAGAAUGUAUGAAGACCAUCACAUGUGGCCCGAGACAUUUUUACAGGGUCAUUUCUUUGGUGAAAUGAGGAGCACCCAAAGAUUGGAGAGCAUGAAUGCAUACUUGAAUAGGUAUGUACAUAAGAAAUUAAGAGUCUUUGAAUUUGUACUACAGAUUGAUAGAAUGCUCAAAAGAAUGAGACAUGAUUAAUCAAGGGAUGUCUUUGAUUCUUUUAAUGGAACGCCGGUUUUAAGCACCCACUUGCGUCAAUUUAAGAAGCACGCAAGUAAAAUUUACAUAAAAAAAUAACGAGAUCAAAUUGACAAAGAAGGAUUGCUUGUAAUUGAUGAAAUAGAAAAUAUAAAGACAAUGGGAAAAUAACAGUUAGGUGAUACACUGUCUAUAGAAAGGAAGGUCACACAAAGCGUACUUGCCCAGUUCAGAGCAAGACAGAGGUCACAUAUAAGAAGAAUCAGAACGUCGAUACAAAUGCAUGCGUCUCUCGGGUUAAUGGGAGCAUUAUAUUAACUGGUUUUCAAACACAUGAUUUAAAUGAUCCUGCACCUUCUCUUUAAGACAAUAAUUGUACAAAAUUGGCCAUGCAAUAUGUUUGCAAUUACGUUUUUCAAUUUCAAGUACUUCGCAGAUUAUUGAAUUCCACAGUCAACCAGUUAUUGUGGAAAUUGUCUCUUCCACUAUUUACUAUGAUUUCUCAUCCAUUAAUUUAAUAUUACUAAUUGUAACGCUGGAAAUUCUAUAUAUGAUGUGUUGUAUGUAAUAUAUUGUAUGUAGAGAGUUUCAUAACUUAGCAUUAACAUUUUAAUACUUUAAAUAUGUAAGUUCCAGGUGACAAUAGUACGUUCUACUAUGUAUCUAAAAAAUUACAUUGUUCAUGUUACUUGUGACGACCAUGACCUAAAUAACGUGGUUUGUACAUGGCCUUUGUAGUUGUUAUUCCAUCUAUGUGACGUGUAAAUUCACAGGACUUACUCUAAUUGUUAUGAUAGUGCGACCGAGCUCAAUCCAACACUAAAUCUCGAAGAAUAUUACAUCUCACAGAUAGAAGUUGAAGGGUCAGUGUCUUCUUUGCGUCGUCUGAUUUGUGCUAUAAAAUAUUCACAUCCAUUUUGUCAUAAAUUAUAAUUUGAUUAUAUCUGCACAAAGCAUCCAACAUUAUUACGAUUGGAAUAAAUGCAUUCAUAAAGAAUUAUGAUACCUUAUACAAAGGGUCAAAAAUUUGUGGAGAACCUUGCAUAUACAUUAUAAUAUACAGUCCGCAGUCAAAAUCAUUUGGUUGCUUAGGAAUGUCAUUGCAAUAAAAAAUUUCAAAUGUUGAAAAUUUCUUCAAUUCACAUUGUAAACUUUUCAUGUCUUCAUUCAUAAUGAGGUCUAAAAUUGCUAGCUGCAACGAAAAAAAUUAUUAAUUGUUUACGUAUUCAACCUUACUUUCAAAGUAAUUAAAACUACUCUUGAUUUUAAAUAAUACAGGGUCUAACAAUAUUGUCGACGUGUUCUGCAUAAGAUUGAUUGCUUUUUGAACUACAUAAAGGAUCCUAAAUCUCAACUCAUAUUUCUGAAUAUUAACAUCAAUCAGGUACCAGUGACAAUUCCCAUCAUGUAUCAGGAUGUAUAUCUGUGAUAAUCCAAUCAGGUAACCAUUUAAAUUUUUUUUAGGUCAAAUUAUACCACACCUUCAAUGAUGAAUUUUUUUUCUUGAACUGAUUUCUUAGUCAUACAGUAUACAGACCUUAGAACCACAAGAAAGUUCUGGCAUGAAUUUUUUCAUAAAAUUACUGUCCUCUAUGAAACGACUCAGGUUACUACCUCUUGUCUUGCAUAUUGUCUAAGUCAUAUAUGAAUAUACUAUUAUUAACAAAUAAUUCAAUAUUAUCAAAUGAAAAUUUCUAUGUGCAAUAGUCACCGAAAAUUGCAAAGGCAAGUACCAAUUCACUUUUGAUUUUGGCAACUUGCAUCUCUUUUGGUAUGUUAACAUUUCAGUAAUAGUUGUAAUAAUCUGCAAAACCAACUUUGUAAAUUAUACUUAGAAUAUCAUAUGCAGAAUAGAAGGAUAAUAUAUACAACGCACUUCACUGUGAAUCCACCUCAUUGGGUUUAAAGAUAACAUUCUAACUCGACAAACAAAAUUUAUCUCCAAUUCAGCGAGCCUCUCCAUACACAAACAAAAUGGACCACGUUAUUAACUCAUCUUCUUAAUAGUAUUAUUAAUCUUGCACAUUAUUAAUAAAAUCAAAUUUAUUAAUAAAAGAUAUAAGACAAAAAAUGUUGAAGUUUUCAACCCUUUGUCCAGAUUGUCGUCCAAUGCAUAUGAUAAAAUACGCAAGACCUCAUCCGAUAUUGGCGUUGUCACCACAAAUGAUCCAGCUCUAUAAAGUGUAGACGGUGGAAAAUUCAUUUCAGAACUCCUACCAAUUCUAUUUACGGGUGAGUCUAGAAAAUUAAUGAUGUGCGGAAAAUUAUUUUCAACCUGAUGAUAAAUUAUAAAACAAAUAUUAACUUAUAUAUCUUAUAUACAAUAAAUUAAUGGUGAUAUAAUAACAAAUGAGACACUAGCCAUUUUUUACCUUAAGUCUCUUUUCUUUUCUUUCGUGGGUGGAUGAAUAUGUAAUUUCAUGCUCUACUUUGAGGCCACAAAUGGACUUGCUCUAUACGGUGAGCUGUAGUUUCUUUUACCUUGAAGUGAUAUUUCAUCGGUCUCCUCAAUGCUCUCUAUGGACGAGUUCAACAAAGGAAUUGAUUUUGAAACAUUAUCUUUAACCUGAAAAAAAUAUUUUUAAUCACAUAUAAAAUCGCCAAUUAUAUGUUACCGUGUAACUAAAAUUGACUAAAUGGAACCUUAACGAACACGUUGUGCUUGCCAUAUACAUUUUUAUAUUUUAAUUUAGUUAUUUUCUUUUCAAUUUCAAUCACAUUCCAAUUCAGAUCAACUGGCUGAAAUUUCUCUUCGAUCCCCUCUAAAGUUUGUCUACUUCAUUGGUUCACCAUACAUUUCUAUCUUGUUUCACAAAUGUGUCUCAAUCACAAGGACAUUUAGACGAAACCCAUGCCUUAACCAUUGAUAUCAUGUCAUAUAAAAACUUAUUUUGAGAUUCUACACGAGUGGUUAGUACCUCUAUAUUCCUAGACAACCCUUUUAAUAUCAUCUGCUUGUUAAUCAAAUUUCUUAAUCACAAAAUAUAGAUCUGACAAAAUAUGAUUAACGCUAUUGUCUCAAUCACUAUGGAUAUUCACUACAUUGGUACAACUUAUAUAUCAGACUACUACCUGCAUAUAUCACUAAGUUUUAGACUAUCUAUCAAUAAAUCUCCUAAUAAACUCAAGCCUAAUGUUCUUUCGGCAUAAUUAUUAUAUUUGUAUUCAAUUAUGCAUUACUUUAUAGAGAACAUACAUAUAUCACUAAGUUUUAGACUGUUUAUCAAUAAAUCUCCUAAUAAACUUAAGCAUGAUUUUCUUUCGGCAUAAUUAUUAAAUUUGUAUUCAAUUAUGGAUUACUUUAUAGAGAACAUACCUCUUUACUGUCAAAAGCACUAUGUUUAUCCAAUCACUUAAUAAACCGUCUUAUCUCUUUCUUAUUCCACAAGACAGUGAGAACCUUUGAAACAUCUCCUCCAAUAUUACCAUAGACAAUAGAGUUCAAAUACAACACUUACAUUUAUAAUUGAUCAAAAUUAACAUACUUUUGUGACACCUUUGAAAAAAAAGUUAAAACUAAAUACAAGACACGUUUAUCUAUUUAAAAGAAUAGAGGCAAACUAAGGGAAAAUUAAAAAAAAAAAAACUAACCUACAUAAAUAGUAGACAACCAUUAAUAUAUGUAAGAUGCUCCUCCUUAUAUUUAGUUAUAGAUUGCACCAACUUGUAAAAACUAAAAGAAGCCCACUUUCUAUUUCUUAUGUUUUUUACAUCAACCAGGGAAAACAAAUAGGAAACACUAAUAUAUGAACCACUUGUGGGACAAAGUAGAGUUGCAAUAGUGAAAAGUGUGAACGCAACCUUGAAAUGUUCAUCCCAAACUUUCUGAUUUAAUAAAAUUUCUUCUACUCUUUUUAUAUGAAUACCCAUAUUUGUUAAAUGAAAUAUUUCACACAACCCUUGUAUGUCUAACCUCUCGUCUUUUAGCACUAUAUCCAAAUCCACGUCUUUUAACCCCAUAAUGCAACUGAGAACUUGAGGAUUUACUAAAAUUUCUUUUCCACAGAUUUCUAUAGUAUUUUUUUUUCACAUUGAAACUGUCAACCAAUCUACCACAAAGUGUUCAUUUUAACCGCCCACAUCUUAUUUUUGUAAUGUUUCCAAAUCAUAUUUCUUGUAUUACCUCAUUCUGCUCUUCACUAAAAGUCGAUACCACUUUUUCAAAUCAUUCCGAGGCACAUCGUGUAUCGAAUUUCAGAAUAUCACUUGCUUCAGUCAUCGUCUUUUCUAUAUAAUAUGCAUCAUUUUUGACAUGGCAAUAUUUCUUUGCUGAUGUUCCAAUUUCCUUCUGUCACCAAAUCAUGAAUUAUUGCACAAUACGAUCAAAUUUAGCAUAUGUUUUUUAUAUGUCACCUAAAAACAAUUCCACUUUCUCACACCAAUUUCUAGAAAAAUUUAAUAUUAACCUCUUCACUGGAGAAUCUUGCUUCCUCUCUUCGCUUAUGUUCCCCUACAUUAUCAUUUUUGCAUCACCAUUUGCAUUGAAGUUAUAACAUGACAAAUUUUUUUAACUAUAUUCGAUCAUUUAUUUUAUAUAAAAAAUACAUAUUUUUGGGAUCCCUCAAUUUCUCUGUCAUUUUUGGUUCAUCAUUGUUAAAUUCAUUUCGCUUCCACAUUGUGUCCUACACAUUCAAUAUAUUCAUAUAUGACAAAUAUCUCAUCUCUCAAUAUCUAUGUAUCUCCUUUAGUAAAUAACUAAACUUGAAAAGAAUAAUGGAAGAACUCUUACCAUUUCUAAGCUAAAUCACAGUUGAGUUUUUGAUUCUUUCAUUUCACUUCUAAAGUAAAAAAUUUAAAAAUAUUUUAUCACACACCUUCAUUCUAUGAUAAUUUCCAUUCAUGUCACUUUCACACUUUGUCUUUGCUACAAUUUAGAAUGUCGUUGGGUUAGAUUUGCUACAUUGUACAUAACUAUUGUAUAAAUGCAAGAACAACGAAGUUGAUCGCUUAUGUUUUUCCCCUUUUUUUUUUCUGAUUUCACUUCUAUUAUUUUUUCACAUUUUUCCUGAUUUCACUUAGACAUCACAAGUGAAAUCUAACAUGCAUUUUCUUCUUUGUUACCAGAUCAUCAAGUGGGCCACCACUUCCUACUUCUCCUGGUUUCCCUUGAUCUUCAUACUCACCCACCAAUCGUUGAAUGUACCGCCCUUAAAUAUGCUACGGUUCUUUAUUUUUUCAUAUAUUUAAUUCCAAAUGGUCUAUUAAUGGAACUGGUGCAUAAUAGUGGCAGCCUAGAACUAAAACAUCAUUAUGAGUAAUAAUAAUUGACUCCCUCAAAUUGUCUCAUCCGUCCUCACUUUUCAAUUUAUCUUAUUACUUUCUAAAAUAAUUCUUGAAAAAAAAUACAGAAUUAUUGGUCUUUAUUUUAUUUUAUUAUCUCUCCCUCCACUCACUUCCUCUUUA